rnacentral:rRNA from 1 species
GGAUAGCCUACCCUUAGGACCGGGAUAACCCUGGGAAACUGGGGAUAAUACUGGAUAGGCAAUUUUUCCUGUAAUGGUUUUUUGUUUAAAUGUUUUUUCGCCUAAGGAUGGGUCUGCGGCCGAUUAGGUAGUUGGUUAGGUAAUGGCUUACCAAGCCGUUGAUCGGUACGGGUUGUGAGAGCAAGAGCCCGGAGAUGGAACCUGAGACAAGGUUCCAGGCCCUACGGGGUGCAGCAGGCGCGAAACCUCCGCAAUGUGAGAAAUCGCGACGGGGGGAUCCCAAGUGCCAUUCUUAACGGGAUGGCUUUUCAUUAGUGUAAAAAGCUUUUGGAAUAAGAGCUGGGCAAGACCGGUGCCAGCCGCCGCGGUAACACCGGCAGCUCUAGUGGUAGCAAUUUUUAUUGGGCCUAAAGCGUCCGUAGCCGGUUUAAUAAGUCUCUGGUGAAAUCCUGCAGCUUAACUGUGGGAAUUGCUGGAGAUACUAUUAGACUUGAGACCGGGAGAGGUUAGAGGUACUCCCAGGGUAGAGGUGAAAUUCUGUAAUCCUGGGAGGACCGCCUGUUGCGAAGGCGUCUAACUGGAACGGUUCUGACGGUGAGGGACGAAAGUUAGGGGCGCGAACCGGAUUAGAUACCCGGGUAGUCCUAACUGUAAACGAUGCGGACUUGGUGUUGGGGUGGCUUUGAGCUGCUCCAGUGCCGAAGGGAAGCUGUUAAGUCCGCCGCCUGGGAAGUACGGUCGCAAGACUGAAACUUAA